UAAAAGACCAGUUGAAGAACAGCCAAAACCUGUCUCUGCUCACGUUGCUCUCAAGGUUGCCACGUCCACCUGACGUGCAUCUGCAUCCUGCUGCCCUGAGAUGUUGCUAAGUGACCAGCAACCAGGCUCAAAAGCUACAACGCCUGCUGCUGCAGUGCAAAAAUAAACAGUUCAGAACGCCAGUUUGGAACCAGUAUCAGGAAGCAGUUGGAUUUUCUGAUGCAAAGGGGAUUUUUGCUUCUGCCUGAGAACAGCCGAGAUUAUGUCAUAAGAAAGGGGCAGAAGAAGCAUCACCAACUCUAAGGAACCAAAGUCUCUCCAGCCACCAAAAUGAAUGCAGCUGCCACUUAGGGGAAGUGGACAAGGACAGAACCACCCAGAGAUGAUGGUGAGAAAAGGCAGAAGGCCUGGGAGCUGGAAAAUGACUCCAUGGAGUAAAAGAUCACAGCAUCCUUUGGGACAAGACCGAUGUUCAUGACAAGGGGCAAAAGAAAAUGAACUACUUUUCUACACCCAACACCAAACAAUUGGCUGCACAUUUUCACUGAAUUGAUUGAUUUCUGUUGAAAUGACAGAUUCAUAGAUGCAGUGGCAUAUACAACCUCUUGAAAGUGGUCAGUUUAGCCCCUGUCUCCAGUUACUUCACCAGAUAGUAAAUAUGUCUAUAAAUGUGCCCAUGCACUGAACUCUAGCUGAUGGCUAGAUGCUGCUUAGAUUCCUGGGUUGAAGAGGACUUUGAAAAUGCCCAUAAGAAGAGGAGGGUCGUGUAAUUGACCAGCAAUGCCUGUCACCUGAGAGAAAAUGAGGAAAAGCGGCAAAAGUACUCUGCAUUUACCCUUACCAGUUUACAAUACUGACUGUUCGUGAUGGAAUUAACCCAUGUUUUAGAAUCAAAUUAAUAAAGUUAAGUAUUACUUUUUCUAACAAUUAUAAUUUUUUGUUUUACACAAAAUUGGUUCCAUUUUUGUCCUCUGGCCAUGUCAAUUUUUCUUACUCCCGAUAACCCAGGACCAUAAAAUACAUCACUUAAAGUGACAGAAGAUAUAAUCUGUUUAAUUUUUCCUGAAAUCCACAUUACUAGAUUAUAGACUCCAUGGGGGCAGGAAUAACACCCCAUUCAUUUCUUAAGUUCCUG
rnacentral:lncRNA from 1 species